AGUAAAAGUCGUAACAAGGUUUCCGUAGGUGAACCUGCGGAAGGAUCAUUACCACACCUAAAAACUUUCCACGUGAACCGUAUCAACCCAAUUCAUUGGGGGUUUUAUUGGCGGCUGCUGCUGGCAUCGUUGUGCUGGCUGGCGACUGCUAUGCAAACCCUAUCAUGGCGAGCGUUCUGACCUCGGUUGGAGCUAGUAGCUUGCAUUUUAAACCCAUUCUUGAAUACUGAACAUACUGUGGGGACGAAAGUCUCUGCUUUUAACUAGAUAAUAACUUUCAGCAGUGGGUGUCUAGGCUCGCACAUCGAUGAAGAACGCUGCGAACUGCGAUACGUAAUGCGAAUUGCAGGAUUCAGUGAGUCAUCGAAAUUUUGAACGCAUAUUGCACUUCCGGGUUAUCCCUGGGAGUAUGCCUGUAUCAGUGUCCGUACAUCANACUUGGUUUUCUUCUUUCCGUGUAGUCGGUGGAAGAUAUGCCAGAUGUGAAGUGUCUUGUGGCUGCUUUUCGAAUCGGCCGUGAGUCCUUUGAAAUGUACAGAACGGACUCUCNUUGUUCAAAAAGCGCGGCGUUGCUGGUUGUGAAGGCUGUCAGUGUGAUUAAUCGGCGACCGGUUUGUCUGCUAUGGCAUCAAUGAAGGAGUGUUCAAUUCGCGGUAUGGUUGGC
rnacentral:rRNA from 1 species